UCUAGUAUAAGCAUUAUACCGUGAAACUGCGAAUGGCUCAUUAAAUCAGUUAUCGUUUAUUUGAUAAUACCUUACUACUUGGAUAACCGUGGUAAUUCUAGAGCUAAUACAUGCUGAAAAUCCCGACUUCGGAAGGGAUGUGUUUAUUAGAUAAAAAACCAAUGCCCUUCGGGGCUUUUUGGUGAUUCAUGAUAACUUUACGGAUCGCAUAGCCUUGCGCUGGCGACGGUUCAUUCAAAUUUCUGCCCUAUCAACUUUCGAUGGUAAGGUAUUGGCUUACCAUGGUUUCAACGGGUAACGGGGAAUUAGGGUUCGAUUCCGGAGAGGGAGCCUGAGAAACGGCUACCACAUCCAAGGAAGGCAGCAGGCGCGCAAAUUACCCAAUCCCGACACGGGGAGGUAGUGACAAUAAAUACUGAUACAGGGCUCUUUUGGGUCUUGUAAUUGGAAUGAGUACAAUUUAAACCUCUUAACGAGGAACAAUUGGAGGGCAAGUCUGGUGCCAGCAGCCGCGGUAAUUCCAGCUCCAAUAGCGUAUAUUAAAGUUGUUGCAGUUAAAAAGCUCGUAGUUGAAACUUGGGCCUGGCUGGCGGGUCCGCCUCACCGCGUGCACUCGUCCGGCCGGGCCUUCCUUCUGAAGAACCUCAUGCCCUUCACUGGGCGUGCUGGGGAAUCAGGACUUUUACUUUGAAAAAAUUAGAGUGUUCAAAGCAGGCCUUUGCUCGAAUACGUUAGCAUGGAAUAAUAAAAUAGGGCGUGCGUUUCUAUUUUGUUGGUUUCUAGAGACGCCGCAAUGAUUAACAGGAACAGUCGGGGGCAUCAGUAUUCAGUUGUCAGAGGUGAAAUUCUUGGAUUUACUGAAGACUAACUACUGCGAAAGCAUUUGCCAAGGAUGUUUUCAUUAAUCAGUGAACGAAAGUUAGGGGAUCGAAGACGAUCAGAUACCGUCGUAGUCUUAACCGUAAACUAUGCCGACUAGGGAUCGGGCGAUGUUCUUUUUCUGACUCGCUCGGCACCUUACGAGAAAUCAA
rnacentral:rRNA from 1 species